UAUACGAUUCAGCAUUAUUAUACGCACACUACCAUAAUCAGGCGUAUCGGAACACCAUUGAUUUCUGACUGGCCUCCGCAUGUUGCCAUCGUUUGAACCUCAUGCAUAGAUAACAAAUAAUAUUUUAGAAUGUAAAAUAAUAGUCAACACUUAUCGAUUGAAUAACGAAAAGAGCCAUGUGUACUUCAUAUAAUAACCCUGGCAAAGUCGUAAAGUGUGGAUGUGUGAUCGGGAAAACGCAUGAUCCAGAUACUAGGAACCAACGCCAAAAGGGACACUAUUGUAAAAUAUAGCUUGUGACAUUAAUGGCUAAAAAUGGAAAGUGAAAAAUCUUCAAGAAGUGGCAAAAUUCCUGGUUACUGUUGGUUACUAACAUCUGGCUUUGCACCAAAAUCGAAGUGGAGGAGAGUAAAUCCUUUCGGUCCCAUGCUAACGACGGAAAUUUGUAGAGAACACUUCGUGAACCAACUCUUGGUUUUCCUUAAAAUCCGAGCUUAAAUACAUGCACCUCAAUAAGCUCUAUUAAUAUGCAUUUGAUCAAGCAACACGAGUAUUGUCUCCAUACGUGAAUUAGCGAAUAUAGGCUUAUGAUUUGUCCA